UACCUACGGGCGGCUGCAGUCGAGAAUCUUCGGCAAUGGGCGCAAGCCUGACCGAGCGACGCUGCGUGCGGGAUGACGGCCCUUGGGUUGUAAACCGCUGUCAGAGGGGAUGAAAGCGAAAGCUUGACAGAGCCUCAGAGGAAGCGCGGGCUAAGUUCGUGCCAGCAGCCGCGGUAAUACGAACUGCGCGAACGUUAUUCGGAAUCACUGGGCUUACAGGGUGCGUAGGCGGUUUUCCAGGUCCGAUGUGAAAUCCCACAGCUCAACUGUGGAAUGGCAUUGGAAACCGGUUGGCUUGAGUGAGCUAGAGGUGCACGGAACUUCCGGUGGAGCGGUGAAAUGUGUUGAGAUCGGAAGGAACACCAGAGGCGAAGGCGGUGCACUGGGGCUUGUCUGACGCUGAGGCACGAAAGCCAGGGGAGCGAACGGGAUUAGAUACCCCCGUAGUC
rnacentral:rRNA from 1 species